CUGCUGUAACGAAAUUAUGGCCUUAUAUUAUGUUAAGUGCUAAUACCGGUUUUCUUUUGAUCUCCUGGAUGAUAUAGGAGUCAUUUCAACGUUACCCAACAGGUGGCUAAACAAAUAAAAACUACCUGAUGUACCCCUUGUAAAAACUUGAGUCAUCCUCCUCCUUGGAGCUAGCUUUUGGGGUAAGCUAGCCUGCUUCAUUUUCUCAUCAUCAUUGGGAUACCAUGAGAACAUUGCUUGCUAUAGAAAAUUUCAAGUUGCUGAAACUUCUAGUGUAACACCAGGUGUAGGCUCUAGUACCUGAGCAUCUGGUAGCUCCUUUGCCAAAAGCUCCUUGAAUGACUCAACUGUUCCUUCUGCGUGGAUGAUGCUGGCAAGAAAUCCUUUGCUAUCAAGGUCUCCAUUUUUCAUUGGCACAAUGAACUUGGCAUGCAGCAACUUUGCAAGUUUGACAGCAUCUUCUUGUCCAUAAACCAAAGUAAAAUUUGGCAGAAGCUGCUUUAUGACUGGUGUAAUAACAAUAUCAGCAUGCUCCUUCUCAAGAAAACUUUUGUUAUAUGCACAGUGGGGUUCAUAGUAAAGAGUCAUUUGGCUUUGUGGAGAAUUGACAAGGUACCCAUUCUCAGGCCGCUGCCAAGGUGGACCCAGAACUGGCCCUGCAGUAGCUUGAACUCUGACUUUAGAAUCAUCACUAGCUUCAAUUUCAGAGCUCUGACCAGGUUCUAAAUAUGUAACAUUGCUAAAAAGGGGAUCCAGCAAAGGCUUAGCAUUAGGAGUUGCAAUGACUCUAAGGUUAGGCAACAUUUCAGAAAGUGGCUUUAAGGUCUUCAAGUGGCAAUGAUCAUCAAGGCUUUGAGUAAUCAAUAAGCAAUCCACUUCAGGAAGAUCUCUAAGCUGGAAAUUCUUUAAGACCUUCUUGGCAGCAUCAUAUAGCCAGGGAAUUCCAAAAUCCAAGUUACCCACCAGGAUUGGGUCAACCAAAAUGUUCACCCCACCAACCUCCCAUAACCAACUGUUCCCCUCCAAGUAAGUGAGCCUGAACACAUCAGUGCUAGCAGAAGUCGACCCAACUGCGCUUCCUUCAGAGAUUACUGCAGAAACAACCUUAUCCAGCCUGUUUCUUGGUAGCCUUUGUGCGCUGGAACUGAUGCAGAAUGGACGGUUAUAGACUGAGGAAAGGCGGAUGGGUGAGAAUAGCUUGAAGGGAGAUAAGGUUCUGAUUCUACAAUGACUG
rnacentral:misc_RNA from 1 species